ensembl:lncRNA
GUAUGGCUCCUACAUAUAUCAUCACCCAGCUCUAAUCUGCUAAAUGCUACGUUUAGCCUUUAGUUUAGAUUAGACCAGUUCUUACUAUUUACUAGUUUUUUAUUAACAUGCAUAUUGCUAGCAUAUUGGCUGUUUAUUAUUUCUUAUAAAGCAUAUUUUAAUGCCUUAAUCUGCAUGGCCAUACCUAAACUUAACUACCUUAUUAACUAUUAAUAGGCAGCAAAUUAGUAGUUUGAUGAGGCAAAAGUUGUAGUUAAUAGUAAAUGGUGAGAAUUGGUCCCCAAACUAAAGUGUGACCAGUGCAACUGUAAGGCAAGAAGAUAUUAAGAUAUUACAAACAAUAGUGUUAUACAAAUAAAUAUGAUUUGAAAUCCUUGAUGGUCCUGGACCAAUUUUUCUGUCAAACAAACGUACAUUUUUUUUGUUGUUGUUGAUUCUUUGAUUUUCUCUUUCAUACUUUUUGUCCGGGCACCUUCUUUCUUUCCUUUGAGAAAAUGUGCUUUUUUUUCAGGAUCAACCAAAGAAAACCGUAAUUGGCAGAAUCAUAGUCGUUGAAUUUUCAGAUGUAAUUCACAGUGAAUGGCAUCUAUUGAACUUGUUGAUUUUGUGUAAUUUGUUUCUCAGCCAUCUACAGUUUAACACCUUCUGCUAUUUCUCUUUUAUCUAACCAACUUGCAGAUAAAGAACUGUUAGACAUGCUUUCUUAAUUGGGCUGGUGGAAGUCUCACAUGACUCAGGAAAGAGCAGAAACAGCUGGACUCUCGUGUAAACACUUUAUCUGUAUUCUUGGCAAGCCCCACAGUGUUUGGCUUUGGAAUGAGAUGCUGUAUCCACACAACCAGGGAGCAGAAAAUCAGACAUCUGCCCUGUUUUGAGUGAAUGCAUGGCUGAAAACACAAUAGAGGCAGAGAUGCUGCAUGCUCCAGUGCUAUCAUGCCUAAUAAUGCAACACGGUUACUAGUAGUGAGUUUUUAUGAAGUGUUGACUAGGUUAUGUGUGCUAGAGACUCACUACUGUGGGUGAAGGAAGUGUGAUGCAGCUUUAUGGUUUUGCUGUUUUUAUAUCCAACUAUAUUGCAGAUGCAGCCGAGGGAACCAAAACAAUAAUCAAACCGAAGCAUGAAUAAUGAAUAAGGUAGUAUGUUUUCACCGUUUGCCAGUUUUAUGUACUCUGUUGUUGAUUUUGUCAUGUUUAGUAUCUUCUAGAGUUAUUUAAUGCCUGGAGUUCAUUAGUUUACGGAAAAUGUUUACAGAAAGUGUUUAAAUGAACUGUUAAUGAGAAGUCAGUGUUUAUAGCAGCUGUACAUUUGCUCAGCCUUGUUGCAAAAUUAUGUGUCUACUAGAUAAGAAAAAACGUUUUCAAAAUGUAUGCAUGCUAGUUUAUUUAUUUAUUUUUUAUUAUGUGUGCAUGAAUACAUGCCAAUGUAGUAUUCAGUAAAUAUUAAAGUAAAGUGAAAACAAAACAAAGUCAGUAAAUUUGAUUUCAUUGUUUCAAGUUUAAGGUUAGUUUGAUGCAUAUGGGACGUACUGUAUUCCAAAAAUGUGAAAACUGCUAAAGAAAUUGGGUGAAUCUGAAUUUUUCAAAUAUAAUUUUGAUACAAUAACAUUAAUUGAGAUGCUCUUUUAGUGCCAUUAAAAAUGUAUGUGUGGGUGUUUGAUUAUUUAUUUUUAUUUGUUAAUUUUAAUUUUAAUUAAUUUAUUAUUUAUUUAUUUAUUUUAAUUGAUUAUUUAUUUUAUUUUUUAUUUUAAUUUAUUAUAUAUUUUAAUUUAUUCAUAUUUUAAUUCAUUUAUAAUUUAAGUUUCCAAGUACAUUUUAUUGACAAAGUAGAAAAGUGAAACAAUUUGAAAUUAAAAAGUCAGUAAAUUCAAAUGUUAUUUACUUGCUUUAUUCAAUGUUGUUGCAAAAUAUGAAAAUUGCAAUACAUUUCAGACCUAAUACUUUUUUUACAUUUUAAAUUAUUUUUUUUCAGACACUGGCCUUAAAUUUAAAUAAAAUAAUUCGUUCAGACUGGUCUGUUGCA